AGGAUUGGGGUACCUAUUCCGCCUAGAGGAGCCUGUCCUAUAAUCGAUACCCCACGUUUCACCCAACCACCCCUUGCAAUUCAGCCUAUAUACCGCCGUCGUCAGCUUACCUUGUGAAAGAGACAAAGUAGGCAAAACAGUUACUAACAAAUACGUCAGGUCAAGGUGUAGCAUAUGGAGUGGAAGAGAUGGGCUACAUUUUCUUUAACAGAAAACCACGAAUGGCACCAUGAAACAGGUGCCUAAAGGCGGAUUUAGCAGUAAGAUGAAUAAGCCACUUUAUCUUAAGCCCGCUCUAGGGUGCGC
rnacentral:rRNA from 1 species